rnacentral:rRNA from 1 species
AGCGAACGCUGGCGGCGUGCCUAACACAUGCAAGUCGAGUGCGUAGUCUCUUGUAGCAAUACAGGGGAUGGGCGCACGGCGCACGGGUGAGUAACACGUGGGUAACCUGCCCUUCGGUGGGGAGUAACCCGCGAAGACGGGGCGUAAUUCGCAUAACAUUCCGGGGACGACAUGUCCUCGGACUCAAAGGAGUGAUUCGCCGGAGGAGGGGCCCGGCGCCC